AUACGUAGGUGGCAAGCGUUGUCCGGAAUUAUUGGGCGUAAAGCGCAUGUAGGCGGUAAUUUAAGGCUGUCGUGAAACUGCGGGGCCCAGCCCCGUAUGGCGAUGGAAACUGGGUUACUUGAGUGCAGGAGAGGAAAGGGGAACUCCCAGUGUAGCGGUGAAAUGCGUAGAUAUUGGGAAGAACACCGGUGGCGAAGGCGCCUUUCUGGACUGUGUCUGACGCUGAGAUGCGAAAGCCAGGGUAGCGAACGGGAUUAGAUACCCCGGUAGUCCUGGCCGUAAACGAUGGGUACUAGGUGUGGGAGGUAUCGACCCCUUCCGUGCCGGAGUUAACGCAAUAAGUACCCCGCCUGGGAAGUACGGCCGCAAGGCUUAAACUCAAAUGAAUUGACGGGG
rnacentral:rRNA from 1 species